UGGGGAAUUUUGGACAAUGGGCGAAAGCCUGAUCCAGCAAUGCCGCGUGUGUGAAGAAGGCCUUCGGGUUGUAAAGCACUUUUGUCCGGAAAGAAAUCCUUGGCUCUAAUACAGUCGGGGGAUGACGGUACCGGAAGAAUAAGCACCGGCUAACUACGUGCCAGCAGCCGCGGUAAUACGUAGGGUGCAAGCGUUAAUCGGAAUUACUGGGCGUAAAGCGUGCGCAGGCGGUUUGCUAAGACCGAUGUGAAAUCCCCGGGCUCAACCUGGGAACUGCAUUGGUGACUGGCAGGCUAGAGUAUGGCAGAGGGGGGUAGAAUUCCACGUGUAGCAGUGAAAUGCGUAGAGAUGUGGAGGAAUACCGAUGGCGAAGGCAGCCCCCUGGGCCAAUACUGACGCUCAUGCACGAAAGCGUGGGGAGCAAACAGGAUUAGAUACCCUGGUAGUCCACGCCCUAAACGAUGUCAACUAGUUGUGGGGAUUCAUUCCUUAGUAACGUAGCUAACGCGUGAAGUUGACCGCCUGGGGAGUACGGUCGCAAGAUUAAAACUCAAGGAAUUGAC
rnacentral:rRNA from 1 species